CUGGAGUUUGGUCUCCACGGGAACGGUGAAUGAGCGUAGGCGGUGGGUGGGGCCCACCCCCUUCCCGUUAUAUUAUUUUUGUACUCUCCUUUUGUCUUCCUCUCCCGAACCCGGCACCCCCCCACCACCCGCGUUCUCAGACUGGCCUUCCAUCCCACUUCUCAUUCUCUCCUCCUACCCUUCUCCCGAUUCGUCAUCUCUUCAUCCGUUCUUCUCCUCACUCUUCGCCUCCUUCCCUUUCUCUCUCGUUUUCCCAGUCUUUUUCCCCAUA
rnacentral:lncRNA from 1 species